UACAGAGGGGGCAAGCGUUGUUCGGAAUUACUGGGCGUAAAGGGCGCGUAGGCGGCCUGCUAAGUCGAACGUGAAAUCCCCGGGCUCAACCCGGGAACUGCGUCCGAUACUGACAGGCUUGAAUCCGGGAGAGGGAUGUGGAAUUCCAGGUGUAGCGGUGAAAUGCGUAGAUAUCAGGAGGAACACCGGUGGCGAAGGCGGAUCUCUGGGCCAUUACUGACGCUGAGGAGCGAAAGCGUGGGGAGCGAACAGG
rnacentral:rRNA from 1 species